AGCGAACGCUGGCGGCAGGCCUAACACAUGCAAGUCGAAUGAAGUCUUCGGACUUAGUGGCGGACGGGUGAGUAACACGGGGGAACGUGCCUUUAGGUUCGUAAGAACUCAGGGAAACUUGUGCUAAUACCGAAUGUGCCCUUCGGGGGAGAGAUUUAUCGCCGUUAUAGCCGCACGCGUCUGAUUGGAUAGUUGGUGAGGUAAAGGCUCACCAAGGCGACGAUCAGUAGCUGGUAUGAGAGGAUGAUCAGCCACAGUGGGACUGAGACACGGCCCAAACUCCUACGGGAGGCAGCAGUGGGGAAUCUUGCGCAAUGGGCGAAAGCCUGACGCAGCCAUGCCGCGUGAAUGAUGAAGGUCUUAGGAUUGUAAAAUUCUUUCACCGGGGACGAUAAUGACGGUACCCGGAGAAGAAGCCCCGGCUAACUUCGUGCCAGCCGCCGCGGUAAGAC
rnacentral:rRNA from 1 species